GGGGAAUAUUGGACAAUGGGCGCAAGCCUGAUCCAGCCAUGCCGCGUGAGUGAUGAAGGCCUUCGGGUUGUAAAGCUCUUUUGGCGGGGACGAUGAUGACGGUACCCGCAGAAUAAGCCCCGGCAAACUUCGUGCCAGCAGCCGCGGUAAGACGAAGGGGGCAAGCGUUACUCGGAAUUACUGGGCGUAAAGCGUGCGUAGGUGGUUCGUUAAGUCUGCCGUGAAAGCCCCGGGCUCAACCUGGGAAUGGCGGUGGAUACUGGCGGACUAGAGUGCGGUAGAGGGUGGUGGAAUUCCCGGUGUAGCAGUGAAAUGCGUAGAGAUCGGGAGGAACAUCUGUGGCGAAGGCGGCCACCUGGACCAGCACUGACACUGAGGCACGAAAGCGUGGGGAGCAAA
rnacentral:rRNA from 1 species